UACGGAGGGGGCUAGCGUUGUUUGGAAUUACUGGGCGUAAAGCGCACGUAGGCGGCUUUGUAAGUUAGAGGUGAAAGCCCGGAGCUCAACUCCGGAAUUGCCUUUAAGACUGCAUCGCUCGAAUCAUGGAGAGGUGAGUGGAAUUCCGAGUGUAGAGGUGAAAUUCGUAGAUAUCUGGAGGAACACCGGUGGCGAAGGCGGCCAUCUGGACGGAUACUGACGCUGAGACGCGAAAGCGUGGGGAGCAAACAGG
rnacentral:rRNA from 1 species